rnacentral:lncRNA from 1 species
AACCCAACAUAACACUAUUGAAGGGUCGGGGUGAAACUACGUUAAGGAUAGCGAUCACGCGCUUGAAGCAAAAAAGCUAUAGUAGCUAUUGUCAUUUUCGAUUUACUUUAGCAAAAUAUUUUUCGUAAAGGUUUAUUGUCAUUUCUUCUAACACUUGCAUUAUUUUACUAUAAGGAUCAUGUUUUUUUUUUUUUUUUUUUUUUGAAUGGUAACUUUCAUUAGAAAAGAAAGCAGCCAGCCCAAAACCGGGCAGCCCAGACAACAAAGCAAGAGAUUACAUAAUUACUUAAAGGAUCAUGUAAAAUAAAACUUACAUUCUUUCACAAAAAAAAAAAAUGCAGUUGAGUUUUUAUAUAUUUUCUACGAUUAAGUUCUUAUGGAUUGUCAUUUUGGAUAUACAUGUAUUUCAUCAAUAAAUCAAACAAAGUUUUAGGACUGAACCGCUUGUGUUCUUGAUCGAAAAUAUAUAUGUUUGAUCACUGAAAGAAACUCAUGAAAUCAAUUGAUACGGACUAACCAACCCAGUACCCAUGUUCAUAUCCUGCACGUUUCCAUUUACCCACGUAUUAUAUCUCGUAUGUAUGCAUGUGCACGUUUCCCUUUAUGUUUGUAAGCCUAUAUAAGGCCAGUUAGUUUAUGGAAUGAAAGGAAGAAA